rnacentral:rRNA from 1 species
GUGGGGAAUUUUGGACAAUGGGGGCAACCCUGAUCCAGCCAUUCCGCGUGAGUGAAGAAGGCCUUCGGGUUGUAAAGCUCUUUCAGUAGGGAAGAUAAUGACGGUACCUACAGAAGAAGCCCCGGCUAACUUCGUGCCAGCAGCCGCGGUAAUACGAAGGGGGCUAGCGUUGUUCGGAUUUACUGGGCGUAAAGCGCACGUAGGCGGAUUGGUCAGUUAGAGGUGAAAUCCCGAAGCUCAACUUCGGAACUGCCUUUAAUACUGCCAGUCUCGAGUCCGGAAGAGGUGAGUGGAACUCCUAGUGUAGAGGUGGAAUUCGUAGAUAUUAGGAAGAACACCAGUGGCGAAGGCGGCUCACUGGUCCGGUACUGACGCUGAGGUGCGAAAGCGUGGGGAGCAAACAGGAUUAGAUACCCUAGUAGUCC